rnacentral:rRNA from 1 species
CGCCAGCCCGCUCAGAAACUCAAAUGAAUUGACGGGGGCCCGCACAAGCGGUGGAGUAUGUGGUUUAAUUCGAUGCAACGCGAAGAACCUUACCUGGUCUUGACAUCCCGGAGACCCUUAGGAAACUAGGGGGUGCUUCCAUCUGGAAGAAUCUGGAGACAGGUGCUGCAUGGCUGUCGUCAGCUCGUGUCGUGAGAUGUUGGGUUAAGUCCCGCAACGAGCGCAACCCUUGCCUUUAGUUGCCAGCAGUUCGGCUGGGCACUCUAAAGGGACUGCCGGUGUUAAACCGGAGGAAGGUGGGGAUGACGUCAAGUCCUCAUGGCCUUUAUGACCAGGGCUACACACGUACUACAAUGGCCGAUACAAAGGGCAGCGACACUGCGAGGUGAAGCCAAUCCCGUAAAAUCGGUCUCAGUCCGGAUUGGAGUCUGCAACUCGACUCCAUGAAGUUGGAAUCGCUAGUAAUCGUGGAUCAGCAUGCCACGGUGAAUACGUUCCCGGGCCUU